rnacentral:tRNA from 1 species
GGCAUGGUGGUGCAGUGGGCAGCGCGGUCACCUCACAGGCGGAAGGCCCACGGUUCGAAGCACAGCUGUGUUU